rnacentral:rRNA from 1 species
AGUGAACGCUGGCGGUAGGCCUAACACAUGCAAGUCGAACGGCAGCACAGUAAGAGCUUGCUCUUACGGGUGGCGAGUGGCGGACGGGUGAGGAAUACAUCGGAAUCUACUUUUUCGUGGGGGAUAACGUAGGGAAACUUACGCUAAUACCGCAUACGACCUACGGGUGAAAGCAGGGGAUCUUCGGACCUUGCGCGAUUGAAUGAGCCGAUGUCGGAUUAGCUAGUUGGCGGGGUAAAGGCCCACCAAGGCGACGAUCCGUAGCUGGUCUGAGAGGAGGAUCAGCCACACUGGAACUGAGACACGGUCCAGACUCCUGCGGGAGGCAGCAGUGGGGAAUAUUGGACAAUGGGCGCAAGCCUGAUCCAGCCAUACCGCGUGGGUGAAGAAGGCCUUCGGGUUGUAAAGCCCUUUUGUUGGGAAAGAAAAGCAGCAGGUUAAUACCCCGCUGUUCUGACGGUACCCAAAGAAUAAGCACCGGCUAACUUCGUG